UACGUAGGGACCGAGCGUUGUCCGGAAUCAUUGGGCGUAAAGAGCGUGUAGGCGGCCACUUAAGUCCUGCGUGAAAUCUUGCGGCUCAACCGCAAGCGGUCGUGGGAAACUGGGUGGCUAGAGUGCGGGAGAGGAGAGUGGAAUUCCUGGUGUAGCGGUGGAAUGCGCAGAUAUCAGGAAGAACACCCGUGGCGAAGGCGGCUCUCUGGAGCGCAACUGACGCUGAGACGCGAAAGCGUGGGGAGCAAACAGG
rnacentral:rRNA from 1 species